CUAAUUGUUCCAAUCAACGAUCAUGAUAGUUAAUUUGAAUUUAAUGGAGUACUAUAGUUUGAAAUGAUACUAUACCGUUGCAUUCAGUCUUGUAGUAGUUGUUAUGUUCUGUAUAUAACAUCAUAAUAUGCAGGUUCACAGAUAUAUGUUCAUGACACUUAGAUUUGUGAUUUUUUUUUUUGUAUUUAAGCAGGAUAACUUAUAUUGUGUUGGAUUCCAAAAUGGUGGAUUACAAUCAAAGGAUGGGAAGGGUAUGGUGCUUUUGGGAGAUCUGGUCCUUUCAAAUAAGUUAGUUGUCUAUGACCUGGAAAAUCAAGUCAUUGGCUGGACUGAGUACAACUGUUCCUCUAGCAUUAAAAUUAAGGAUGAACAGACAGGGGCAACAUACACUGUUGACGCUCACAACAUCUCCUCAGGAUGGAGGUUUCAUUGGCAGAAGCAUUUGGCUGUGUUGCUGGUAACAAUGGUGUACAGCUAUCUAAUAUUCUAACUCCGGUGUAUGACACGGACUCUAGUGGAAAUUCAUUUGAUUUAAAUUCUUUUCACCAAAGAGGGAAAAAGGGUAGGGGUGUUUAGAUGGUGUUCUCUGACCACUCGAGAGAACUGAAAAGGAAACAUUGUACGCUACACAAUGUACCCGAGUGUGUAGUGUAAUGUAAUGUAAUGAUGUGGUGACUGGUGAGAAAAUACUAUGGCUGAAUGUGCUUUUGGGAGGUUCUAGGAAUGAUAUCAGGCCCCCAUCUUUUGAAUAUA